rnacentral:rRNA from 1 species
AGCUACAGGCUUAACACAUGCAAGUCGAGGGGCAGCAUCAUCAAAGCUUGCUUUGAUGGAUGGCGACCGGCGCACGGGUGAGUAACACGCAUCCAACCUGCCGACAACACUGGGAUAGCCUUUCGAAAGAAAGAUUAAUACCGGAUGGCAUAGUUUUCCCGCAUGGGAUAAUUAUUAAAGAAUUUCGGUUGUCGAUGGGGAUGCGUUCCAUUAGGCAGUUGGCGGGGUAACGGCCCACCAAACCAACGAUGGAUAGGGGUUCUGAGAGGAAGGUCCCCCACAUUGGAACUGAGACACGGUCCAAACUCCUACGGGAGGCAGCAGUGAGGAAUAUUGGUCAAUGGACGAGAGUCUGAACCAGCCAAGUAGCGUGAAGGAUGACUGCCCUAUGGGUUGUAAACUUCUUUUAUACGGGAAUAAAGUGAGCCACGUGUGGCUUUUUGUAUGUACCGUAUGAAUAAGGAUCGGCUAACUCUGUGCCAGCAGCCGCGGUAAUACGGAGGAUCCGAGCGUUAUCCGGAUUUAUUGGGUUUAAAGGGAGCGUAGGCGGGUUGUUAAGUCAGUUGUGAAAGUUUGCGGCUCAACCGUAAAAUUGCAGUUGAUACUGGCGACCUUGAGUGCAACAGAGGUAGGCGGAAUUCGUGGUGUAGCGGUGAAAUGCUUAGAUAUCACGAAGAACUCCGAUUGCGAAGGCAGCUUACUGGAUUGUAACUGACGCUGAUGCUCGAAAGUGUGGGUAUCAAACAGGAUUAGAUACCCUGGUAGUCCGCACAGUAAACGAUGAAUACUCGCUGUUGGCGAUAUACGGUCAGCGGCCAAGCGAAAGCAUUAAGUAUUCCACCUGGGGAGUACGCCGGCAACGGUGAAACUCAAAGGAAUUGACGGGGGCCCGCACAAGCGGAGGAACAUGUGGUUUAAUUCGAUGAUACGCGAGGAACCUUACCCGGGCUUAAAUUGCAACUGACUGAACCGGAAACGGUUCUUUCUUCGGACAGUUGUGAAGGUGCUGCAUGGUUGUCGUCAGCUCGUGCCGUGAGGUGUCGGCUUAAGUGCCAUAACGAGCGCAACCCUUAUCGAUAGUUACUAGCAGGUCAUGCUGAGGACUCUAUUGAGACUGCCGUCGUAAGAUGUGAGGAAGGUGGGGAUGACGUCAAAUCAGCACGGCCCUUACGUCCGGGGCUACACACGUGUUACAAUGGGGGGUACAGAAGGCAGCUACACGGCGACGUGGUGCUAAUCCCGAAAGCCUCUCUCAGUUCGGAUUGGAGUCUGCAACCCGACUCCAUGAAGCUGGAUUCGCUAGUAAUCGCGCAUCAGCCACGGCGCGGUGAAUACGUUCCCGGGCCUUGUACACACCGCCCGUCAAGCCAUGAAAGCCGGGGGUACCUGAAGUACGUAACCGCGAGGAGCGUCCUAGGGUAAAACUGGUGAUUGGGGCUAAGUCGU